GACGAACGCUGGCGGCGUGCCUAAUACAUGCAAGUAGGACGCAGGUGCGAACGGGUGAGUAACGCGCAGGUAACUCCCUAUCAGAGGGGGAUAACAAUUGGAAACGAUAGCUAAUACCCCACACUAGUCGAUGGACCUGCGUUGUAUUAGCUAGUAGGUAGGGUAAUGGCCUACCUAGGCAACGAUACAUAUCCGACCUGGGGAGGUGAACGGCCACAAUGGGACUGGGAAACGGCCCAGGCUCCUACGGGUGGCAGCAGUAGGGAAUCUUCGGCAAAGGGGGGAACCCUUACCGAGCAACGCCGCGUGAGUGAAGAAGGUUUUCGGAUCGGAAAGCUCUGUUGUUUAGGAAGCGGUACUUAACCAGAAAGGGACGGCUAACUACGUGCCAGCAGCCGCGGUAAUAC
rnacentral:rRNA from 1 species